GAUGAACGCUGGCGGCAUGCCUAAUACAUGCAAGUCGAACGAGAGGAAGGAAAGCUUGCUUUCCUGAAUCUAGUGGCGAACGGGUGAGUAACACGUAGGUAACCUGCCCAUGUGCCCGGGAGUAAACUUACUGGAAACGGAUGCUAAAACCGGGUAAGGUAGCAGACAAGCAUUUGUACUGCUAUUAAAGUAGGCCUUGGCCAUGAACAUGGAUGGACCUGCGGUGCAUUAGCUGGUUGGUGAGGUAACGGCCCACCAAGGCGACGAUGCAUAGCCGGCCUGAGAGGGCGGACGGCCACAUUGGGACUGAGACACGGCCCAAACUCCUACGGGAGGCAGCAGUAGGGAA
rnacentral:rRNA from 1 species